AUGGUGUAUAUUUUUCUGCUCUAUUCUUGUUGUUCUGCCUGGAGUUUUCUUCUCGUUUCUAUUUUGGAUUUCUGGGAAUUGGAUGUUGUUGUAUGGUAUGUUGUUUGUUCAAUUGCAGGUACUAGUUUUGCAGCUAUGGAUGUGUUGUUGUGUGGAUAUGGAGGAAGAGUUUUGUUACUAUUUUCUCUCCUUUUGUCUAUGAUCCCCAAGAUCAGUCAUCUCCCCCUCUUUAUCUGUGGACUCUUCCUUUUUAUAGUCAUAGUAAAGUGA